UUAUACUUUUAUUUUGUUCUGCACAUUUUAGGCCUGAAUGGAACUUGAGUGCUGGGAACAUAUGGUAUCAAUUAAGUGACGUAGUUUAGAGGGUCUUCUAUGGAAUGCCGGUGUAUCAUAGGACUGUUCCAAUAGGAUUCCUUUACGUAUACCCUAACCAAAUGUAAAGGGGUAUAAAUAGGCAUGAUUACAAGGACAAGGUCUCUUUCUACGCUCUUUCUACGCUCUUUCUACGCUCUUUCCACGCUCUCAUCUUCAUCUCACCAAGAUACUAAGCCUACAGUACCUUUUAUCAACAUUUGUUCCAGCAUUGGUAUUGUAUGAAUUGAUAAUUUGUCAUCGAAUAAACCUAAUUAAUAGACUUUGAAGCUGUGGUCUUGAUUGCUGUUUGAUCACUGGAGAAGCUUAGAUAUUCAAGACAAAGAAUAUUCUAACAAAUUGACGAGCCAGCCAGUCUUUAGUCAGUUUUUUACGGCGAGCCUUUACUGCACGUUUGUUUUUGACUUUUCCUCUUCCGACAAAGGGGGGAUAGUGUGCAGUUGUCUGAAGAGAUCAAAGAGAUCCUCUGACUAAAAACAAAAAACCUAGCAGUGUGAUCAGAAGAAAGUGUAAUCCGACACUACCAGACCAUUACCAGACCACGUGGUGAGAAGGAAGAGCAUUCCAGAACCGUGCAUCGUCCUGAGCGCAGACUGAGCAAGCAACUGAUCUACGGUUGCAUGUAAGAAUCGAAUGGACAAUGCAAAUCAUUAAAAGGUCCAUCAUGGCAAA